rnacentral:lncRNA from 1 species
CCACCUUGGUAUAGCAGAGGAGGAAACGGAAGCUCAGACAGCCCGCUGGGCCGCUCCGAGCUCCGGGCUGGCUGCCGCGCGCUCCCGGUCUGCUGUUCCGCGGAGGGCACAACAAAGGGCCCCCCGGGCAGCCCGCUCAGAGACCGACUACUGAAACCCUCGGGCCAGGUUCUCGUUUUUGCUUUGUUUGGUUUUGGUUUUCUGGCGUCCUUAAACUCUGAGAUUUCUCCCGAUUCCGGUUCGAGACCUCCCGGGUUAAGUAAGUUGUCCCUCGGUUCCUAAUUUAAAAAGGAG